rnacentral:rRNA from 1 species
CAAGCAAUCUCGGGCUUGGUUAGUACUUGGAUGGGUGACCGCUUGGGAAUACCAAGUGUGAUAAGUA